rnacentral:rRNA from 1 species
AGAGUUUGAUCCUGGCUCAGAUUGAACGCUGGCGGCAGGCCUAACACAUGCAAGUCGAGCGGAAACGAGUUAUCUGAACCUUCGGGGGACGAUAACGGCGUCGAGCGGCGGACGGGUGAGUAAUGCCUAGGAAAUUGCCCUGAUGUGGGGGAUAACCAUUGGAAACGAUGGCUAAUACCGCAUAAUACCUACGGGUCAAAGAGGGGGACCUUCGGGCCUCUCGCGUCAGGAUAUGCCUAGGUGGGAUUAGCUAGUUGGUGAGGUAAUGGCUCACCAAGGCGACGAUCCCUAGCUGGUCUGAGAGGAUGAUCAGCCACACUGGAACUGAGACACGGUCCAGACUCCUACGGGAGGCAGCAGUGGGGAAUAUUGCACAAUGGGCGCAAGCCUGAUGCAGCCAUGCCGCGUGUGUGAAGAAGGCCUUCGGGUUGUAAAGCACUUUCAGUCGUGAGGAAGGUAGUGUAGUUAAUAGCUGCAUUAUUUGACGUUAGCGACAGAAGAAGCACCGGCUAACUCCGUGCCAGCAGCCGCGGUAAUAC